rnacentral:rRNA from 1 species
AGGGCGCACGGUGGAUGCCUUAGGCACUAGGAGCCGACGAAGGACGUGACAAACGACGAUAUGCCUUGGGUAGCUGUAAGUAAGCGAUGAUCCAGGGAUUUCCGAAUGGGGGAACCCAACAGGUAGUACCUGUUACCCACAUCUGUUAAGGAUGUGAGGAGGAAGACGCAGUGAACUGAAACAUCUAAGUAGCUGCAGGAAGAGAAAGCAAAAGCGAUUGCCUUAGUAGCGGCGAGCGAAACGGCAGAAGGGCAAACCGAAGAGUUUACUCUUCGGGGUUGUAGGACUGCAAUGUGGACUCAAAGAUUAUAGAAGAAUGAUUUGGGAAGAUCAGCCAAAGAGAGUAAUAGCCUCGUAUUUUAAAUAGUCUUUGUACCUAGCAGUAUCCUGAGUACGGCGGGACACGUGAAAUCCCGUCGGAAUCUGGGAGGACCAUCUCCCAACCCUAAAUACUCCCUAGUGACCGAUAGUGAACCAGUACCGUGAGGGAAAGGUGAAAAGCACCCCGGGAGGGGAGUGAAAUAGAACCUGAAACCGUGUGCCUACAACAAGUUCGAGCCCGUUAAUGGGUGAGAGCGUGCCUUUUGUAGAAUGAACCGGCGAGUUACGUUAUGAUGCGAGGUUAAGUUGAAGAGACGGAGCCGUAGGGAAACCGAGUCUGAAUAGGGCGCCUUAGUAUCAUGACGUAGACCCGAAACCAUGUGACCUACCCAUGAGCAGGUUGAAGGUGCGGUAAGACGCACUGGAGGACCGAACCAGGGCACGUUGAAAAGUGCUUGGAUGACUUGUGGGUAGCGGAGAAAUUCCAAACGAACUUGGAGAUAGCUGGUUCUCUCCGAAAUAGCUUUAGGGCUAGCGUCGACAUUAGAGAUUCUUGGAGGUAGAGCACUGUUUGGGUGAGGGGUCCAUCCCGGAUUACCAAUCUCAGAUAAACUCCGAAUGCCAAUGAAUUAUGGUCGGCAGUCAGACUGCGAGUGCUAAGAUCCGUAGUCGAAAGGGAAACAGCCCAGACCACCAGCUAAGGUCCCAAAAUAAUUGUUAAGUGGAAAAGGAUGUGGGGUUGCACAGACAACUAGGAUGUUAGCUUAGAAGCAGCUAUUCAUUCAAAGAGUGCGUAAUAGCUCACUAGUCGAGUGACCCUGCGCCGAAAAUGUACCGGGGCUAAAACAAUUUACCGAAGCUGUGGAUACCUUUAUAGGUAUGGUAGGAGAGCGUUCUAUGUGUGAUGAAGGUAUACCGUGAGGAGUGCUGGAACGCAUAGAAGUGAGAAUGCCGGUAUGAGUAGCGAAAGACAGGUGAGAAUCCUGUCCACCGUAAGACUAAGGUUUCCAGGGGAAGGCUCGUCCGCCCUGGGUUAGUCGGGACCUAAGGAGAGACCGAAAGGUGUAUCCGAUGGACAACAGGUUGAUAUUCCUGUACUAGAGUAUGUAGUGAUGGAGGGACGCAGUAGGCUAACUAAAGCAGACGAUUGGAAGAGUCUGUCUAAGCAGUGAGGUGUGAAUUGAGUCAAAUGCUUAAUUCUAUAACAUUGAGCUGUGAUGGGGAGCGAAGUUUAGUAGCGAAGUUAGUGACGUCACACUGCCAAGAAAAGCUUCUAGCGUUUAAACAUACUCUACCCGUACCGCAAACCGACACAGGUAGUCGAGGCGAGUAGCCUCAGGUGAGCGAGAGAACUCUCGUUAAGGAACUCGGCAAAAUGACCCCGUAACUUCGGGAGAAGGGGUGCUGACUUUAAGUCAGCCGCAGUGAAUAGGCCCAAGCAACUGUUUAUCAAAAACACAGCUCUCUGCUAAAUCGUAAGAUGAUGUAUAGGGGGUGACGCCUGCCCGGUGCUGGAAGGUUAAGAGGAGUGCUUAGCGUAAGCGAAGGUAUGAAUUGAAGCCCCAGUAAACGGCGGCCGUAACUAUAACGGUCCUAAGGUAGCGAAAUUCCUUGUCGGGUAAGUUCCGACCCGCACGAAAGGCGUAAUGAUUUGGGCACUGUCUCAACGAGAGACUCGGUGAAAUUUUAGUACCUGUGAAGAUGCAGGUUACCCGCGACAGGACGGAAAGACCCCAUGGAGCUUUACUGCAGUUUGAUA